CACUAUCACUAUGGUUCCUUGAGCCUUCAGAGGUCUGGGUGUGUUCCUGGAGAAGAGGCCAUUAGGACUGGGAUCCCUGGGGGCUACGGUGGAUCCUAGGGGCUCACUGUGCCCCUCACCACCCUGGGAGGCUGCUUACUGUCAACAGACCCCAAGUAAAGGGAUCAGCAGAGUCUGAAGGCAAGAAGAACCCCAACCUCAGAGCACACUUUUGUCUCCACCUGAUCCUGCUGAUCCUGCACCUUGGUCACCCAACCCAGACAACAUCCCCAUGCUCCAGCCCACAUCCACAAUUCAAGCCUUUCAGAUCAUCCCCAUUUCCAGGCCUUUCUCAGGCUCUGGAGGUGCUCUCCCAGAACCCCUUAUGAAGUCUCAGUACAGUACCCCCACUCUAACAUGCACAACCCCACACUUCACAUCCCAAGACUGAGUUCCCAAGAAUGAAAUGAAGAUGCAGGCCCACAAAGAAUCCCAAGAGACAAGAGAAGUGGAAGAAGAAGAGUGACAGAGAUUGGGACAAAGAGAUGGAGAGACAAGAUGCAAGAGAGACCCAGAAAGAUCUGGAAGCACAGGCAUGGGGCACAAAGUUCCACAGCCGUGUUCUGGAGCCUUGGAUGCAGACCCCUGGCCAGGGCCACCCUGUCAUGCCAAAGAGAAGCCCCAGGGACAAGCUGCGGCCAGACCACAUCCACACUGGCUGGCAGUAUCGAGCGUGACCCAGUGCCAGGCUGCUGGAGGCCACACAUGCAGCAUCUUGCAGAGUCCUCGAAGAGACCUGGGCCCAGGGCCCCUUGGCUGCAUGCCAUCAGCAGCUCAAAAGGGUGACCCUUGGCCAAGGUCACACAGCUGACUACCAUCGCAGGAUCGUAACCAAGUCUGUUGGAUUCCAGAGCCCAAGCCUUCCCCACUGCAUGUCGAGAGUGCCACCUCCCCAACCAUGCAUCUUUGCACCCCAUUCCUCUUGAUUUCAGCCCAUGAUGCUUUGGGGGAAGCUAAAAAUUGUUUGUUUGGGUUUUUUUGGUAACAAAAACAAACAAACAAACAAAAAAUCAACAAAUUGCCAGCUGAGGAUUGGGAAGGGAAUGGAUGGAGGAAGAAAAGGAUAGAAACCUAAGAAUAAGGGAUGAGGCACAGACUGAGGAUGGGGGUGGGGUUUUGGAGGGAAAGGGAUAUUAGCCAAGAGCCAUGCAGAAGGUCCCAGAUG